rnacentral:rRNA from 1 species
AUUGAACGCUGGCGGCAGGCCUAACACAUGCAAGUCGAACGAGUGGCGGACGGGAGAGUAAGGUAUGGGAAAAUGCCUGGGGGAGGGGGACAACAACUGGAAACUAUAGCUAAUACCGCAUACCAUCGGAUGUGCCCAGAUGGGAUUAGCUAGUGGGUGGGGUAAAGGCUCACCUAGGCGACGAUCCCUAGCUGGUCUGAGAGGAUGACCAGCCACACUGGAACUGAGACACGGUCCAGACUCCUACGGGAGGCAGCAGUGGGGAAUAUUGGACAAUGGGCGCAAGCCUGAUGCAGCCAUGCCGCGUGUGUGAAGAAGGCCUUCGGGUUGUAAAGUACUUUCAGCUGGGAGGCGUUACCCGCAGAAGAAGCACCGGCUAACUCCGUGCCAGCAGCCGCGGUAAUUC